rnacentral:rRNA from 1 species
UCUCAGGAAAAGAAUUUUAGUCCAACCUAAAGAAACAAAAAUCAAAACAAAUACUCCCCAUUACUUUAGAGCAAUUCAAAUAAGGUACAGCCUAUUUGAUUCAGGAUACAACCUUCCCCAAAGGGUAAUACUUCGAUCCACCUAUAAGUGGGCCUAACAGCAGCCACCUUUUAAAAAGCGUUAAAGCUUAAAUGUCCUUUUAAUCCAUCAGAUCCCAUAGACCCCUUCAACUGUACUGAGAAAUUCUAUAUCUUUAUAGAACCUUUUAUGUUAAAACUAGUAACAAGAGAUAGCCCUCUCUAUAGUGCAAGUGUAAGCCACAAGGACCAACCAAUGGCAAAUAACAGAUCUAAACAAAUAGUAGUAACUUUCCCAGAAAAUCCUACUUUAACCCCCUGUUAACCUAACACAAGCGCACUUCAAGAAAGAUUAAAAGAAAAAGAAGGAACUCGGCAAAUAUUAGACCCGCCUGUUUACCAAAAACAUCGCCUUUUGUUUCCCAUAAAAGGUCCAGCCUGCCCAAUGACUAUUGUUAAAUGGCCGCGGUAACUUAACCGUGCAAAGGUAGCGUAAUCACUUGUCUCUUAAAUGGGGACUGGUAUGAAUGGCAUCACGAGGACUAAACUGUCUCCUUUCUCUAAUCAGUGAAACUAAUCUCCCCGUGAAAAAGCGGGGAUUUAUCUAUAAGACGAGAAGACCCUGUGGAGCUUAAAACACAACCCAUCUGGCAAUAAUAUCUAACAACUCAGGUUUCUACCAUUACGCCACUCUGGCCCCGUGUUUUCGGUUGGGGCGACUGCGGGGAAAAAAUCAACCCCCGCGAUGAAUAAGAAUUUCUUAAGCAACAAGCCACAGCUUUAUGCAUCAUUAAAUUGACACUAUUGACCCAAUAUAAUUGAUUAACGAACCAAGUUACCCCAGGGAUAACAGCGCAAUCCACUUUGAGAGCUCAUAUCGACAAGUGGGCUUACGACCUCGAUGUUGGAUCAGGGUCCCCCGGUGGUGCAGCCGCUACUAAAGGUUCGUUUGUUCAACGAUUAAAACCCUACGUGAUCUGAGUUCAGACCGGAGUAAUCCAGGUCAGUUUCUAUCUAUAACAGAGCUAUUUUUAGUACGAAAGGAUCAGAAUAGCAUGGCCAAUGCACCAGCAAGCCAUAAUUACCCACUUUUAGACCCCCACUCAAAAAGCCACUAAUCUACCCCCUCCCUUCAAGAAAAGAACA